UAUUUUAGCGUCGCGAUUGUGAUCCAGCCAAGCCAAAUAUAGUCGUAGACAGGUAUUUUUAGCCGUACAGCGAAUCCCAUCCGGCAAAAGCGACCAAGACGAUAUAGGAUAUACAGUUUACUACAAAAAAUCAGCACACUCAGUGUUAGUGUUGUUAUUCAGCAGGGCAUAGUUUACCAGUCAGCUGAUGAUAUAUAACCGCAAUAGAGUAGAUCUCCCUGCUCACAGCUUCUCUCUCUAUCCGGACACAAAGGGUUGGAAAACACCUGAAGAUGUUGUAGGAUAACCUGCAGACACAUACAACAGGGUAGGAGUGCCACGUAAAGCUGCCAAUUUGUUGCCAAACAGCAAAGCAAACAUCUUGGAUGAAUGUGACGUCAUGCUCGUGUUGCUGAUGGAAUCUCCCGUUUGGUGUUGCAAUGGCAGCGGGAAAAAAGCCAGUCAUGGGGUCACAACAGCGACUGUACAGCUGAGAGAGUGACGUUAGAUGCACGUCUUACUCCAGCAGCUUUACUAUACACACCGGGGACACGGUAAGCCGGGGAAGCCCUCACAGACACACACACACACACACACACACACACAUAGCCACACGCACUAAUCCAAUUAGUUAGUUGCAGCCUGGCCCGGGCCUCCUCGGACAAACGCUGAUCCAAUUAUUAGUGGAUGGAUAGGCCAGGCAAUCCCAGUGAUUCCCAGCUCUAAGGUGCUUAAGUGGCACUACGCCACCGCAUCAGGAGGACACCUCAUACGCACAAAGGAUCCCCUUGCUAUUUUUGUGGACAUACACGCCGCCUGCCCGGUGAGUCAACAAAGACGAGGAAGACGCCAAGAAGCCACUUCCACUCAUUCAGCAGAGUUGCAGAGAGUGAACCGGAAACCCCGAGCUUAGCCAGGGUAAAGAGACUUUCCCCUACGCACGGCUCUGUCUACACAAAACUCCUAAUCACAUGCCAGGAAUAGUCACGGACAUAUACACUCUGGAAAUUAUUAACGGGAGCGUAGAACAAUCAACGGAUGGAAGACCUUGGGAUGCUGCUUUCACCCACCAAACAUCCACUCGUUUUCCGUGUGCUAGAAAACCAUCGAUAUCAUUUGUAGUGAAUGUGUGUGUGUGUGUGUAUGUGUGGAUAUGUGUAUUUUCUAAGAGCCUCUUCAUCAAACAACACACCAGAAUGAGGCACACUCCAAACAAGGUCACAAGUCCAUACAGAGGCUCUUAACUAACACUCACUGUGUAGUGAGGCUCUGCAGAGCUGUUAUAUUCUCUUUUAUUCUCUUCUACACACACACACACACACCCUGCAUACCAUUUUAACGGCUGUCUGAGGCAGCCUGAUUGAGCACAAUGGCGUAUCCUCUUUUCCCGUGACGAACCGUGGAUGUUGGAAGUCACGCACUCACGUGAAUGUGCCACAUAAACAAGCAGCAAACAGCAAACAGCUGGCUGCAGGCAGGAAAAAUAUGUCACAUCCACUUUUGGUGGAAGAAAGCUCAUAAAACGGAGCGUUAGUUGUGUGUCUGCCAUGUGUCACGUAAGGUCCUCCCUUAUGCUAAUGUACCAUUCAUCUGUGUCAUAGAAUGAUAAUGACUCUCAGCGCAGAGAGCACUCAGAGUAAAGCCCCGCUGUCCACUCUGUCUUUCUGUACGCUCCACUGUUUCUGUCUCUGUCUCUUUCCCUCUUUUUCUGUCUGUUUUCAGUCUGCUUCUAUGUCUCCACGCUUUCUUGUCUAUUUCCAUGUUUUUGUCUCUCUUGUCUUUCUUUGUCUCCAUUGCUGUCUCUCCUCUACAAGCCGUCAGGAUGUACAGACUUCAAAUUUACACAAAAAAACCCAACAUUUUCUUUUUACUCAAUGUCAAAACUUAUUAUUUUUAAACAAUAUAUUUCUUUGCGGUGUGCCAGUAAGUAAAAACGCCAUAGUUGCAAUUGUGUUUUUGCCUAUUCUGCAUAUUUAGAGGACCCUUAUUUCUGCUUUUUAUUUUUAAAGCAAUCUAGGGAUGAAUCUGGCUAUAUAUUUUUUUUAAAUUAAACAAUUGUGGAAAUCAGAUUGACAAAUCCAAAAACUGUGUGACAAUCUGGUUUCAAAAAUACCAUUUGUAGGACAAACACUCAUUGUUUAAUUGUUGUUUUUUUUUGUGCCAAUUUCUUGGAAAAGAUUCUGGUGCAUAAUCAGCCAUUUCUGUGUUAAAUUUCUGUGACUGGAACGUUUUCAGAGCAGCGCUUGUCACAAGGGGACAUUGUUUACUGUAAACUGUGAUGAGCGGCGGCGUCUUCUUGCAGCAGGCAGCACAACAACUUUUGGGUGUUUGAGGACAUGU